rnacentral:rRNA from 1 species
UACGUAGGAUCCAAGCGUUGUCCGGAUUUACUGGGUGUAAAGGGUGCGCAGGCGGACUUGUUAGUCAGAGGUGAAAUCUCACUGCUCAACAGUGAAACUGCCUUUGAUACUGCAGGUCUUGAAUCCAGAAGAGUAGUUGUGAAUUCCGAGUGUAGCAGUGAAAAUGUGUAGAUAUUCGGAAGAACACCAGCGGCGAAGGCAGCAACUUGGAUCUGGUAUUGACGCUCAGGCACGAAAGCAUGGGGGAUCAA